AAUUGAUCUGGUUCAGGAUGAACGCUAGCUACAGGCUUAACACAUGCAAGUCGAGGGGCAGCGAGAGGAAAGCUUGCUUCCUUGUCGGCGACCGGCGCACGGGUGAGUAACGCGUAUCCAACCUUCCCCAUAGUAGAGGAUAGCCCGGCGAAAGUCGGAUUAAUACUCUAUGUUGUGUCAUGAGGACAUCUGAAUAACACUAAAGAUUUAUCGCUAUGGGAUGGGGAUGCGUCUGAUUAGCUUGUUGGCGGGUAACGGCCACCAAGGCGACGAUCAGUAGGGGUUCUGAGAGGAAGGUCCCCCACAUUGGUACUGAGACACGGACCAAACUCCUACGGGAGGCAGCAGUGAGGAAUAUUGGUCAAUGGACGAGAGUCUGAACCAGCCAAGUAGCGUGCAAGGAUGACUGCCCUAUGGGUUGUAAACUGCUUUUAUGCGGGAAUAAAGUCAGGUACGUGUACCUGUUUGUAUCGUACCGCAUGAAUAAGGACCGGCUAAUUCCGUGCCAGCAGCCGC
rnacentral:rRNA from 1 species